rnacentral:lncRNA from 1 species
GCAGCUUUACCCCCAUUCUUUCCUGUAGUUCUCUGAGGACUGCCUGCUUUCCCAGCCCGUUCUCUGUGACUGCUGCUUGAAAUGCCAACAAAACAAAGUUAAGCCAGAUAAUUUUUGAAAGCUCAUGAAUGACUUUUCAUUGAAAAAGACCCAUUUCAUGACACAUCUAUGAACAUCCAUUGGAGACUACCAUCUCCUGCUAAGGGCAUGGAAAUAAACCCAAAACUGAAACAGAUGUCUUCGCCCACAGAUUCUAAAAUCAGAGGGUAUUCAUAAACCGCCCCAUAAAUUUGAGAGCAUACUGGAAAAGAGGAACUGUUAAAAACUGAAAUGC